GACGAACGCUGGCGGCGUGCUUAACACAUGCAAGUCGAACGAAGAGCGAUGGAAGCUUGCUUCUAUCAAUCUUAGUGGCGAACGGGUGAGUAACGCGUAAUCAACCUGCCCUUCAGAGGGGGACAACAGUUGGAAACGACUGCUAGUACCGCAUACGAUCUAAUCUCGGCAUCGAGGAUAGAUGAAAGGUGGCCUCUACAUGUAAGCUAUCACUGAAGGAGGGGAUUGCGUCUGAUUAGCUAGUUGGAGGGGUAACGGCCCACCAAGGCGAUGAUCAGUAGCCGGUCUGCGAGGAUGAACGGCCACAUUGGGACUGAGACACGGCCCAGACUCCUACGGGAGGCAGCAGUGGGGAAUCUUCCGCAAUGGACGAAAGUCUGACGGAGCAACGCCGCGUGAGUGAUGACGGCCUUCGGGUUGUAAAGCUCUGUUAAUCGGGACGAAAGGCCUUCUUGCGAAUAGUGAGAAGGAUUGACGGUACCGGAAUAGAAAGCCACGGCUAACUACGUG
rnacentral:rRNA from 1 species